rnacentral:rRNA from 1 species
UACGUAGGUGACAAGCGUUGUCCGGAUUUACUGGCGUAAAGAGCGCGCAGGCGGUCGAUCAAGUCGAGUGUGAAAGCCCCCGGCUCAACUGGGGAGGGUCAUUCGAUACUGAUCGACUCGAAGGCAGGAGAGGGUAGUGGAAUUCCCGGUGUAGUGGUGAAAGUGCGUAGAUAUCGGGAGGAACACCAGCGGCGAAGGCGGCGCUCUGGGCCGGUACUGACACUGAGGAGCGAAAGCGUGGGUAGCAAACAGG